GACGAACGCUGGCGGCGUGCUUAACACAUGCAAGUCGAACGGUAAGGCCCUUCGGGGUACACGAGUGGCGAACGGGUGAGUAACGCGUGAGUAACCUGCCCUUCACUCUGGGAUAACAGUUGGAAACGGCUGCUAAUACCGGAUAUUCAGCUCCUGUCGCAUGGUGGGGGUUGGAAAGUUUUGGUGGUGGAGGAUGGGCUCGCGUCCUAUCAGCUUGUUGGUGGGGUGAUGGCCUACCAAGGCGUCGACGGGUAGCCGGCCUGGGAGGGCGACCGGCCACAUUGGGACUGAGAUACGGCCCAAACUCCUACGGGAGGCAGCAGUGGGGAAUAUUGCACAAUGGGCGGAAGCCUGAUGCAGCAACGCCGCGUGCGGGAUGACGGCCUUCGGGUUGUAAACCGCUUUCAGCAGGGACGAAGCGCAAGUGACGGUACCUGCAGAAGAAACACCGGCUAACUACGU
rnacentral:rRNA from 1 species